UCGAGAAUCUUCGGCAAUGGACGCAAGUCUGACCGAGCGACGCCGCGUGCGGGAUGAAGGCCCUCGGGUUGUAAACCGCUGUUGGAGGUUAGGAAAUUUUGACCGAUCCUCUGAGGAAGGGCAGGCUAAGUUCGUGCCAGCAGCCGCGGUAAGACGAACUGCCCAAACGUUAUUCGGUAUCACUGGGCUUAAAGGGUGCGUAGGCGGCAUGGUAAGUGAGAUGUGAAAUCCCACGGCUCAACCGUGGAAUUGCGUUUCAUACUGCCAUGCUUGAGGGAGAUAGAGGUGAGCGGAACAGAUGGUGGAGCGGUGAAAUGCGUUGAUAUCAUCUGGAACACCCGUGGCGAAAGCGGCUCACUGGAUCUCUUCUGACGCUCAUGCACGAAAGCUAGGGUAGCGAACGGGAUUAGAUACCCCUGUAGUCC
rnacentral:rRNA from 1 species